rnacentral:rRNA from 1 species
AUUGAACGCUGGCGGCAGGCCUAACACAUGCAAGUCGAGCGGAUGAGGGGUGCUUGCACCCCGAUUCAGCGGCGGACGGGUGAGUAAUGCCUAGGAAUCUGCCCGAUAGUGGGGGACAACGUUUCGAAAGGAACGCUAAUACCGCAUACGUCCUACGGGAGAAAGUGGGGGCUCUUCGGACCUCACGCUAUCGGAUGAGCCUAGGGCGGAUUAGCUAGUUGGUGGGGUAAAGGCUCACCAAGGCGACGAUCCGUAGCUGGUCUGAGAGGAUGAUCAGUCACACUGGAACUGAGACACGGUCCAGACUCCUACGGGAGGCAGCAGUGGGGAAUAUUGGACAAUGGGCGAAAGCCUGAUCCAGCCAUGCCGCGUGUGUGAAGAAGGUCUUCGGAUUGUAAAGCACUUUAAGUCAGGAGGAAGGGCUGUAGGUUAAUACCUUGCAGCCUUGACGUUACCGACAGAAUAAGCACCGGCUAACUUCGUGCCAGCAGCCGCCGUAA